rnacentral:rRNA from 1 species
GAUGAACGCUGGCGGCGUGCCUAAUACAUGCAAGUCGAGCGAACAGACGAGGAGCUUGCUCCUCUGACGUUAGCGGCGGACGGGUGAGUAACACGUGGAUAACCUACCUAUAAGACUGGGAUAACUUCGGGAAACCGGCGAUAAUACCGGAUAAUAUAUUGAACCGCAUGGUUCAAUAGUGAAAGACGGCUUUUCUGUCACUUAUAGAUGGAUCCGCGCCGCAUUAGCUAGUUGGUAAGGUAACGGCUUACCAAGGCAACGAUGCGUAGCCGACCUGAGAGAGUGAUCGGCGACACUGGAACUGGGACACGGUCCAGACUCCUACGGGAGGCAGCAGUAGGGAAUCUGCCGCAAUGGGCGAAAGCCUGACGGAGCAACGCCGCGUGAGUGAUGAAGGUCCUCGGAUCGUAAAACUGGCUUAUUAGGGAAGAACAAAUGUGUAAGUAACUAUGCACGUCUUGACGGUACCUAAUCAGAAAGCCACGGCUAACUACGUG